rnacentral:lncRNA from 1 species
AGUGGAUGAGAUGUGAGCAGAUUAAAGCCUCAGGUAUCACAUGCUUUUCUCCGCUGGAUUAUAUUUCUGAACGUUAUUGUGCUUUGGUGUUUCCAGGAGGGUGUGUGGGAGGAAGAGGAAGGGGACGCCUGUGAAGGUGUGUGACCGGGCGUAUGUGACAGAAGAUGAGGAGGAGGAGAGCAUGUCAGAACACAGCUACAGCCCUGGUGACGGUCAGUACCCAGAGGGGGCCGAGGACUGCCUCCCCCCACCUGGCAGCCCAUACUACCUGCCCGACCCCACCCAGCUCUGGUAAGGAGUCCCUGGCCUCACAUGCGUUCUGUAGGUUGGGGAUCCAUAUCAGGGCUGAGCGCUGGUUUCUAAUUUUAUAUCGUCUAAUGGUGGUACCUCGAUCGCAGAUAGGUGAUCUGAUCCCCAACGGCAGUAUGACUUUAUGGAUGAAUAAACACAUUUCUACUGUUCAAAUAAUUGAUUCUGUGUUUUGCAUUUUUUAAUUAUUAUUGAUGUUUAAAUAAUCAACCUUUAAGCUCUUUGCACAGCUAAAGUUAUGUGAAUAAACAUUUAUAAAAGAGCGUGAACAUUUUAUUUAAAAUAUCUAUUGAUAGAAAUGUCUAUUCAAACAAUGGCUCGCUUUUAAAAAUCUGUUUGUCUGUGUGAAAGUGUCAAAUUCUCAUGUUUACUAUUAUUAUCCUAAAUAUCACAAAUCAUAUCCAUCCAUAACAUUAACCAGAGCAAAGUUGAGGUGAGCAGCAUAUGGAGGCCGGAGAAGGAUUUAAAAAGAUUUUCAAACAUCUCUACAGAUUGUUUAUGAAUUACUUUAAUAAAGUUAGUUAAAAUCGCCUUUACUCAUGUAUCGUCCCUUCAUCUGUCACAAGCCUAGUCCAUGCUGCUCUGUGACUUCCUGUCUCGCAGUGUGCCAGAGUUAGGCGAGGAGGGAGCGAGUGGCGUACGGGGACCGGUCCUCUUCCAUCCGCCGCCCAACUGUCGCAUCAGAGAGGUCCACUGUGGGACCCAGGUGAGGCUGGUUGUCAUAGCGAUCCGAGACAUCGCCAAAGGGGAGGAGAUCACGGUGGACUACAGUCUGACGGACUGGGGCGAGAACGCCAUGGAGGAAGAGGCGGCCCCUCACCCUCUGUCCCUCUCCGUUUCUGAUUACCUCACCCCCUCCUGGUCCUUGUCCCCCUCGUCCUCCCCGCUCACCCACUCUGAACCCAGCGACUCAGACCGCGAGGAGGACGAAGAGGAGGAAGACGACGACGAUGACGACGACGAUGAAGAAGAGGAAAUGGAGGAGAUAAGGGGCCGAAUGCUUCGCCGCCGCAAGAAGCGCAAGCUUCCUGCGGAGGUCCCUUCGAAGAAGAAGAGCGAGAACCCCUGCUCAUCCUUCUCCCACCCGCCACCUGUCACCCCACCUGCCAGAUCCCAGUCCCAGCCCCCUGUCAGUGCCCUGGCCCCCCCCACUACCAACAUCAACAACAACAUCAACAUCAACAUCGGCAGCUCCACCGGCGCUGCGGUGAGCCGGCGGCAGCACUGCCCGUACUGUGGCCGCCACUAUCGCUCUCUGGCCCGCCACCUGGAGAAGCACCACGCCAACCAGCCCGAGGUCAGAGCCGCUAUGGAGCAGGCUCACCUGCACACACACAGCUCUUCAAACGGAAGCGCCGCGCACCCUAACCCCUCAGCGUCCUCCACCUCUCACAGCCACUCCUUCGCCGUCCCUCAGCCCGCGGCCUCCAGCCCCCCCCCCCCUCUCUUCUCACGGGAGAGGGACUCGCCAGCGACUCGCUCAAACACCGGCAGCGUGUCCUUCUCCCUCUCGCUUUCCCCACCUUCUUCUGCUCAGCCUGCAGCAGCCAAGAAGGCGCCCAGUUUACCACUGCCAAGCACCAAACGCCCCCCCACCCCCAUGGUGCCACGAGUUAAGAGUCCGUCCCCUCCCCCGUCUGCUCCCAGGAGGGGGAGGAGGUUGAAGAGAGAGAAGCAUGAAGAGCAGCCGAAGGCGGAGGUGGAGAGCUCGAGGAGUCAAGAGGAGCUGGCUCCCCCUCCGACUCCAGAGCCUGACGUGGAUCCAGAGGAAGAUCUGGACCUGAGCGGAGACGGAGACGCGGCCGAGGAGAAGAACGGAGCGGUGGUGAGCCCACAGAGACAUCACAUGUCCCCGCUGCUCUCCUCCCUCUCCUGUCUGGUGGUCUACCUCCGCCGCCAGCAGCACUCCUCCUGCCUCUCUCUGACCCGCUCUCCUCACUCGGCCGAGGCCUGGCGCCUGCUCUGCCACUCCAGCCUCUCUCUGCUCAUCCUCUACAACCGCCACCGGGAAUGUGAGGUGGCCAAGCUCACCGUGCAGGACUACUGCAGCCGCACCCCCCCCCCAUCCAGCUCCAGCAGCAGCCCCCCCUCUGGCAUGGAAGCCCUGCUGUCCCCUUUUGAGCGCCACGUGCUCUGUAACCUGCCACGGGCCGGGGUCCUGGGCAAGCGUGGUCGCAUCCAGCCGCUGAUUCUGCCGCCACACUGCGAGUCGUGCCUUGACCUGCUCCUUCAGACGAGCCCGAGUGUGGGUGUGGACCCCGAGAGCCCCUACGUCUUCUCCCGGCCCUACCACUCUCCUGCCACCCCCGCUCCGGGGCACCGACCUCCUGAGGAACCUGGCUCGGUCCAGCGGGGCCAAGAACCCCGGAGCACUGACGGCGACUCGUGCGCGGCGGCAGGUAGCGAUUUUCACUCAGCUGCUGCUGCUAGAGGAGGGCGAGGGCCAGGGAGGGGGCACCAAACGGCUGGAGGACUUCCUGGAGCGAGAGUACCACGUGACCCAAAACUGCUCCACCAUCAUACGGGAUCCAGCUCUGAUGGGUCAGGUGGGUCGGGUUGUUCUGUACGGAGAGAGGGAGGGCGUGCUGUUCAGAGGGAUGAGCCUGCAACACAUCUGCCUGGAGCUGGAUGUCAUGUCUGGAAACUCGGCAGACUCCUUCUCAGAAGAUUCAGAGGCAGUGGAAGAGAAGGAGGAAGUGAAGGAGAAAGCUGA